rnacentral:piRNA from 1 species
UUAUUGUGUCUUCAUCAUGGAUCAUCCAUGG